GACUGCCGAUGACAAAUCGGAGGAAGGUGGGGAUGACGUCAAAUCAUCAUGCCCUUUAUGUCCUGGGCUACACACGUGCUACAAUGGUCGGUACAACGAGAAGCAAGUCAGCGAUGGCAAGCAAAUCUACUAAAAGCCGAUCCCAGUUCGGAUUGCAGGCUGCAACUCGCCUGCAUGAAGUCGGAGUUGCUAGUAAUCGCGGAUCAGAAUGCCGCGGUGAAUGCGUUCCCGGGGUCUU
rnacentral:rRNA from 1 species